rnacentral:rRNA from 1 species
GAUGAACGCUGGCGGCGUGCCUAAUACAUGCAGGUCGAGCGAACAGACGAGGAGCUUGCUCCUCUGACGUUAGCGGCGGACGGGUGAGUAACACGUGGAUAACCUACCUAUAAGACUGGGAUAACUUCGGGAAACCGGAGCUAAUACCGGAUAAUAUAUUGAACCGCAUGGUUCAAUAGUGAAAGACGGUUUUGCUGUCACUUAUAGAUGGAUCCGCGCCGCAUUAGCUAGUUGGUAAGGUAACGGCUUACCAAGGCAACGAUGCGUAGCCGACCUGAGAGGGUGAUCGGCCACACUGGAACUGAGACACGGUCCAGACUCCUACGGGAGGCAGCAGUAGGGAAUCUUCCGCAAUGGGCGAAAGCCUGACGGAGCAACGCCGCGUGAGUGAUGAAGGUCUUCGGAUCGUAAAACUCUGUUAUUAGGGAAGAACAAAUGUGUAAGUAACUAUGCAUGUCUUGACGGUACCUAAUCAGAAAGCCACGGCUAACUACGUG